AUUGAACGCUGGCGGCAUGCCUUACACAUGCAAGUCGAACGGCAGCACGGGGGCGAACCCUCGGUGGCGAGUGGCGAACGGGUAGAGUAAUGCAUCGGAACGUGCCCCGUACGCGGGGGAGUAACCAGUCGAAAGACUGGCUAAUACCGCAUACGCUCCACGGAGGAAAGACAGGGGAUCGCAAGACCUUGCACUAUGGGAGCGGCCGAUGCCCGAUUAGCUAGUUGGGAGGUAAAGGCUCACCAAGGCGACGAUCGGUAGCUGGUUUGAGGGAACGACCAGCCACACUGGGACUGAGACACGGCCCAGACUCCUACGGGAGGCAGCAGU
rnacentral:rRNA from 1 species